CUUGUCAUGCCAGAGUCCUGCAGCCUGCUGCUGCUGCUGUAUCAGCUGCCGUUGCUUUAUGGUCCUUAAAUUGCCCCAGCCUUCUUCAAGCCCAUUUAACAUGCUGACAGCCCCAUUUUCCAUGCAACAGGAGUUGACCAAAAAAUGAGAUGUUCACCUCCACAGCUGCGACAGGCUUAAACCCAUGAUGGCCCAGUUAUGUGAUCUAUGUCAAGGCAGGGAAGAAAAGUUCACCCCCUUCCCCCAUGCGUCAUGCUGCUUCCACAGGGAUAGUGUUUUACAUGCUCAAGCAAAGCAGAGCUGUCAGCAGAGGAGAAGAAGCAGCUUUAUGUGGGAGACAGAAAAAGGGAAGGAGGAAGAAGACGGGAGAUGAAGAGAGAGAGAUAGAGAGACGGAAGUAACUUCACAAGAAUCUGAUCUCAAAU